UAUCAAAGAUGAAACAUUGGUUCUUGUAUGAUCACUGAAGUUAAGCAAUGUCAAGCCUUGUUAGUACCUAGAUGGGUGACUGCUUGGGAAUACCAGGUGCUA